GAUGAACGCUGGCGGCGUGCCUAAUACAUGCAAGUCGAGCGAACGGACGCGAAGUUUGCUUCUUUGAUGUUAGCGGCGGACGGGUGAGUAACACGUGGAUCACCUCCCUAUAAGACUGGGAUACCUUCGGGACACCGGAGCUAAUACCGGAUAAUAUUUUGAACCGCAUGGUUCAAAAGUGAAAGACGGUCUUGCUGUCACUUAUAGAUGGAUCCGCGCUGCAUUAGCUAGUUGGUAAGGUAACGGCUUACCAAGGCAACGAAGCAUGGCCGACCUGAGAGGGUGAUCGGCCGCACUGGAGCGGAGACACGGUCCAUACGCCUACGGGAGGCAGCAGUAGGGAAUCUUCCGCAAUAGUCGAAAGCCUUACGGAGCAACGCCGCGUGUGUUAUGAAGGUCUUCGGAUCGUAAAACUCUGUUAUUAGGUAAGAACAUAUGUGUAAGGAACUGUGCACAUCUUGACGGUACCUAAUCAGAAAGCCACGGCUAACUACGUG
rnacentral:rRNA from 1 species